AGUGAACGCUGGCGGUAGGCCUAACACAUGCAAGUCGAACGGCAUCACAGUACGAGCUUGGUCUUACGGGUGGCGAGUGGCGGACGGGUGAGGAAUACAUCGGAAUCUACUUUUUCGUGGGGGAUCACGUAGGGAGACCUACUCUAAUACCGCAUACGACCUUCGGGUGAAAGCAUGGGAUCUUCUGACCUUGCGCGAAUGAAUGAGCCGAUGUCGGUUUAGCUAGUUGGCGGGGCGAAUGCCCAUCAUGGCGACGAUCCGUAGCUUGUCUGCGAGGAUGGUCGGCUUCACUGGAACUGGGACACGGUCCUGAGUCCUACGGGACGCAGCAGUGGGGAAUGUUUGACAAUGGUCGCAAGCCUGAUCCAGCCAUACCGCGUGGGUGAAGAAGGCCUUCGGGUUGUAAAGCCGUUUUGUUGGGAAAGAAAAGCAGCAGGUUAAUACCCCGCUGUUCUGACGGUACCCAAAGAAUAAGCACCGGCUAACUUCGUG
rnacentral:rRNA from 1 species